rnacentral:lncRNA from 1 species
GGAAAGACUGAAACAUGAUUGAUUUCAUGGUUGCUUAUGGUAGUUUCAAAUGUAGAAUCUCUUGGUGAGAUUCUUAGUGUUUUAAAAUGAAAGUAGGGGCUCAGCCUUAGGAGUCAUUCUGACGCUUCAAUGGUCAAUCAAACUCACUUAGAGAGGUUGAACCAUGUGGUGAGAAGUAGCAGGAGGUCCUUAGUCUUGGGGGCUCCCAGUAUGCCUCUUGGCGCGGAACGGACUAACCUCGUGAGUGUGGCAGGGUGGGGAACCCAAGUUUCAUAAGUCACCACGGGUGCAAGACUCGCCAUAGCUCGACUAUCAUUUUAAAGUCCGGACGAGUCAAGUCUAGAAAAUAACAUGCUUAGGUUGUGUUUCCUAACUGUUUUGUUUUCAAUUCACUCUUAUAUGAUCACAUGCUUAAUCUGUUAUAUGUAUUUGUUUAUAUAAUUAGCUCACCCUUGCUUGUUUGUGUUUGUGUUUGUUGCCUGC